AGCUAAAAUAGUAAGUAACUUAUCUAAUUUAGUUGACAUCACCUAUUCAACAGUGAGACUAAAAGCACUCUAGCUUCUACUUUAAGAUAUAAAUUCUGAUCUAAAUUCGUGGAAUUUUUAGGAAUGGGAAAAAUCUCUCCCUCCAAAGCUGAAAUUAAUGAUCACAAGAUACCACUUUGUUUUUACUUCAGGGUUUUAUUACAUGUAAUCUACAUGCCUUAGUUGGUAAAACCAGCUACCAUCAAGUCAAAAUGUAAAAAGACCAGGAAUAUCUUCCCUUGGUAAAAAAAAAUACUGCCCCAGCUGUGGAGGUAUGGAUACUUUCCUUCAGAUCUAUACAUAAAGCUCUUAAACUUUGAGCUUAAAGGAUAUCUGAAACUUAUGGUGAUCUAAGUCAGGGGAAAAAAUUGAAUUGGGCCUUAGCAUGUUGGCAGAGGAAGAGAAACCAGAGAAAAACUCUUAUCACAUUUAGUACUAAGUCCAGGAGUUUAACCCAACCAAACCCCUGGUGGUAAAAGCCAAAAGAUUGCAGCAAAAGAACCAGAAAAGAAGAUCCCUUCCACAGCAGCAAAAGCAAUAAUCCUCUCACCAAAGUUUGCUCUUUCGGGGUUGAUCCAGUCAAGAGCCCAUUGAGCCUUCUUCAUGAUGCAUGGCAUUGUUU